UUACCAGCUCGAACGGACUGAAAGUUCUUCGGACUGAGGUGCUGCAUGGUUGUCGUCAGCUCGUGCCGUGAGGUGUUGGGUUAAGUCCCGCAACGAGCGCAACCCUAUCUCAGUUGCCAGCAAUGGGACUCUGGGAGACUGCCUACGCAAUAGGAGGAAGGCGGGGACGACGUCAAAUCAUCAUGGCCUUUAUGCUGGGCUACACACGUGCUACAAUGGGGUACAAGGGGCACCGCGAGGGGAGCAAUCCCAAAACCGUCCCAGUUCGGAUCGGAGUCUGGAACUCGACUCCGUGAAGGUGGAAUCGCUAGUAAUCGCGAUCAGCACGCGCGGUGAAUACGUUCCCGGACCUUGUACACACCGCCCGUCAAGCCAUGGGAGCUGGGGGCCGAA
rnacentral:rRNA from 1 species